GUGCCCACUUUGGCAGCACAUAUAUUAAAAUUGGAACAGUAUAGAAAAGAUUAGUAUGGUCCCUGUGGAAGUCUGAUAUGCAAAUUUGUGAAGCAUUCCAUAUUGGA